rnacentral:rRNA from 1 species
UAGAGUUUGAUCAUGGCUCAGAUUGAACGCUGGCGGCAGGCCUAACACAUGCAAGUCGAGCGGUAGCACAGAGGAGCUUGCUCCUUGGGUGACGAGUGGCGGACGGGUGAGUAAUGUCUGGGAAACUGCCCGAUGGAGGGGGAUAACUACUGGAAACGGUAGCUAAUACCGCAUAACGUCGCAAGACCAAAGAGGGGGACCUUCGGGCCUCUUGCCAUCGGAUGUGCCCAGAUGGGAUUAGCUAGUAGGUGGGGUAACGGCUCACCUAGGCGACGAUCCCUAGCUGGUCUGAGAGGAUGACCAGCCACACUGGAACUGAGACACCGGUCCAGACUCUACGGGAGGCACAGUGGGGAAUUUGCACAUGGGCCAAGCCUGAUGCAGCCAUGCCGCGUGUAUG